rnacentral:rRNA from 1 species
AGUGAACGCUGGCGGUAGGCCUAACACAUGCAAGUCGAACGGCAGCACAGUAAGAGUUUGCUCUUACGGGUGGCGAGUGGCGGACGGGUGAGGAAUACAUCGGAAUCUACUUUUUCGUGGGGGUUAACGUAGGGAAACUUACGCUAAUACCGCAUACGACCUACGGGUGAAAGCAGGGGAUCUUCGGACCUUGCGCGAUUGAAUGAGCCGAUGUCGGAUUAGCUAGUUGGCGGGGUAAAGGCCCACCAAGGCGACGAUCCGUAGCUGGUCUGAGAGGAUGAUCAGCCACACUGGAACUGAGACACGGUCCAGACUCCUACGGGAGGCAGCAGUGGGGAAUAUUGGACAAUGGGCGCAAGCCUGAUCCAGCCAUACCGCGUGGGUGAAGAAGGCCUUCGGGUUGUAAAGCCCUUUUGUUGGGAAAGAAAAGCAGCAGGUUAAUACCCCGCUGUUCUGACGGUACCCAAAGAAUAAGCACCGGCUAACUUCGUG